UGGGCAACCUGCCCUCAGCUCUGGGAUAACUCCAAGAAAUUGGGGCUAAUACCGGAUAUGACCGCUGACCGCAUGGUCUGGUGGUGGAAAGAUUUAUCGGCUGGGGAUGGGCCCGCGGCCUAUCAGCUUGUUGGUAGGGUAGUGGCCUACCAAGGCGACGACGGGUAGCCGGCCUGAGAAGGCGACCGGCCACACUGGGACUGAGACACGGCCCAGACCUCCUACGGGA
rnacentral:rRNA from 1 species